UUUUUCAAAACUCACAAACAUGUGAGGUGGGUUUGGGCUUUAGCUUUCAACUGUGUGCAGUGGAGGCAGAUUUGCAUGUGGAUGAUCAUGUGUGUAGUGCAGCUGAACCCAAGUGAAAGAGCUGUGGAGGUAAUAAAAAUAUAUUUUGCACAAAAUACUUCCUUCCCCCACUGUAACUGGUGGAAUACCAGCUGUGUGUGUGUGUGUGUGUGUGUGUGUGUGUGUGUGUGUGUAACACACGACACACUUGAGUCAACCAUCUUAAAAAAAAAAGUCUGAGUCCCUUGAGGACCAGAGGGCGCUGGUCAUCCCAGAGGAAGCCAUUAAACCAGUCUGCUCCUCUGACCUGCUCCUGUGCUCCAUCAUCACCUGACCAGGAAACACAUUCAGUAGCUUGAACUCUCAGUUGUGUUCUGAAUAUGAUGGGUGCAUAUGUUUACGAUCACCAAAUAAUCUAGUAGCAGAGAGAGUGCGUGUGUGGGGGGGUGGGGUGGGGGGGUAAGACCUGUCUCUGAACUAACCAGCGCACUGUAGGACCCUGUAAGUUUGAUAUUUCAUGUCCUGUUCUGUUGGUGUAAAAUGUAUGUGUUAUGUUGUCAGACAGAGGUGGUCUUGAUUUGUGUCUUUUUAUUUGUGGAGUGAAGUUCGGGGGAAUAUUUUUGAGUCUGGUUGGAGUUUGGGGGAAUAUUUUUGAGUCUCGUUGGAGUUUGGGGGAAUAUUUUUAAGUCUGGUUGUUGAUUGAACCUUUUACUGACUGUCCAGCUCUGCUCUCACCACAAGGUGGCACAACAGUGACAGCACACACUCAUUUAAUUAAACAAACAGAAUACAAACAUACAGUAAUGAUGUGUUUAAAAUGAGGUGCUCUCCUUACACGUCCUCAGAUAAGGCCUAGCCUACAGAAACGCUGUUACCCCUCCUGAUGAGUGAAUCUUCACGAAGACAAAGGCAAUCAGAAAUAGUGGCAUUACCUUUCUCUAUUGGCUGAAAUGACUGUCUCAGCCAGAUUUGGGAAUCAAUCUGUGAGACAGGUGUGUGUGGAUGUCUUGUUGGUGUUAUGGACGUUUAUUUUGUUAAAAGGACAUUUCGGAUGACAUUAAGCAAAUGGCAUCAACAUUCCCACUUUUUUUCUGGCUUUGUGCUGCCUUGCUGUCCCCAUUCAAAUGGUACAACUGCAAUACUUAUUAACAUAAGACAACAGAAAAAAUUAUAUAAUCUGAUCGAUAAUAACAUUUGGCCCUUUGGAUGGUGACAGGAGCUUCCUAUAGAGGUGCAGUGGAGAAAGAGGGAAAUGCAGCAUGAUCUUUCUGGGUAGAGCAGUGUCCCUGCUGUUUGUGCUAACCAUAUCAGUCCUGUAGUUACAGCUUGCUCUAUUUUUGUGUUUGUCUCAGAUUGCUAUGUUUGUUUGGUUCACUACUUAAGGAAAACAAUAAAUUCUAGUAUUGAAAAUACAGAUUGGAGUGGUAUUUGUGUGUGUGAACCCUCAUCAUGCGGUCAACCUAUUUAACAAUGUAUUGAUUGACUGCACUCAGGAUAGUAUCAUACGCGCCAUG
ensembl:lncRNA